ensembl:snoRNA
ACCCUCCAGUUCCCUUUCCCAUCGGAUCUGAACACUGGUCUUGGUGGUCGUAAAGGAGGAAAAGUAAUUCUGAAGCUGGCCUCACAGCUUUAUAGUCUGGUAUAUAGCAUGUGGCUAGUUUCAAACAGGG